UACGUAGGGUGCGAGCGUUAAUCGGAAUUACUGGGCGUAAAGCGUGAGCAGGCGGUUUUGUAAGCCAGAUGUGAAAGCCCCGGGCUUAACCUGGGAAUGGCAUUUGGGACUGCAAGGCUUGAGUGCGGCAGAGGAGACUGGAAUUCCUGGUGUAGCAGUGGAAUGCGUAGAUAUCAGGAGGAAUACCGAUGGCGAAGGCAGGUCUCUGGGCUGACACUGACGCUCAUGCACGAAAGCGUGGGGAGCAAACAGG
rnacentral:rRNA from 1 species